rnacentral:rRNA from 1 species
CAGUUCGUAGUGAACUGCGGAAGGAUCAUUA